AUGAACGCUGGCGGCGUGCCUAAUACAUGCAAGUCGAACGAGAGCCCUUAUAGCAAUAUGAGGGUUUCUAGUGGCGAACGGGUGAGUAACGCGUUGGUGAUCUGCCCCGAAGUGGGGGAUAACAGUCCGAAAGGAUUGCUAAUACCUCAUGUGGUUGCGAGAGUUAGAGGUCUUGCAACUAAAGGAGUAAUUCGCUUCGGGAGGAGCCUGCGUCCCAUCAGCUAGUUGGUAGGGUAAUGGCCUACCAAGGCGGAGACGGGUAGGGGACCUGAGAGGGUGACCCCCCACACUGGAACUGAAACACGGUCCAGACACCUACGGGUGGCAGCAGUAGGGAAUAUUGCACAAUGGACGAAAGUCUGAUGCAGCAACGCCGCGUGUGCGAUGAAGGCCUUCGGGUUGUAAAGCACUUUUUGGAAGGAAUAGGAAGGAAUGUACUUCCAGAAUAAGUCUCGGCUAACUACGU
rnacentral:rRNA from 1 species